rnacentral:rRNA from 1 species
GUGUCAGCAGCCGCGGUAAGACAGAGGGGGCAAGCGUUGCUCGGAAUCACUGGGCGUAAAGGGCGCGUAGGCGGGAUGGCAAGUCAGUCGUGAAAUCUCUCGGCUCAACCGAGAAACGUCGGCUGAUACUGCCGUUCUUGAGGGAUGCAGAGGAGACUGGAAUUCCCGGUGUAGCGGUGAAAUGUGUAGAGAUCGGGAGGAACACCGGUGGCGAAGGCGGGUCUCUGGGCAUUUCCUGACGCUGAGGCGCGAAAGCGUGGGGAGCAAACGGGAUUAGAUACCCCGGUAGUCCACGCUGUAAACGAUGACGACUAGGUGUGGGGUGGUUUAGUCCAUUCCGUGCCGCAGCUAACGCAUUAAGUCGUCCGCCUGGGGAGUACGGCCGCAAGGUUGAA